UACGAAGGGGGCUAGCGUUGUUCGGAAUUACUGGGCGUAAAGCGUGCGCAGGCGGCUAUCCAAGUCAGUGGUGAAAGCCCGGAGCUCAACUCCGGAACUGCCAUUGAAACUGUUUAGCUCGAGUACGAGAGAGGUGAGUGGAAUUCCCAGUGUAGAGGUGAAAUUCGUAGAUAUUAGGAAGAACACCAGUGGCGAAGGCGGCUCACUGGCCCGGAACUGACGCUGAGGUACGAAAGCGUGGGGAGCAAACAGG
rnacentral:rRNA from 1 species